rnacentral:rRNA from 1 species
GACGGAGGGAGCAAGCGUUGUCCGGAUUUACUGGGCGUGAAGCGCGCGUAGGCGGUCCGCUAAGUCGGCUGUGAAAUCGCUGGGCCCAACUCAGCAAGGUCAGUCGAUACUGGCGGACUCGAGUCCGGGAGAGGGAAGUGGAAUUGCUGGUGUAGCGGUGGAAUGCGUAGAGAUCAGCAAGAACACCGGUGGCGAAGGCGGCUUCCUGGACCGGUACUGACGCUGAGGCGCGAAAGCUAGGGGAGCGAACGGG